rnacentral:rRNA from 1 species
AUUCUGGUUGAUCCUGCCAGAGGUUACUGCUAUCGGGGUCCGACUAAGCCAUGCGAGUCGAGAGGGUAAAGCCCUCGGCGCAAUGCUCAGUAACACGCGGAUAACCUGCCCUUGGGUCCGGGAUAACCCCGGGAAACUGGGACUAAUACCGGAUAGAUCAAAGAUACUGGAAUGUUCUUUGGUCCAAAACUCCGGUGCCCAAGGAUGGGUCUGCGGCCUAUCAGGUAGUAGUGGGUGUAACGUACCUACUAGCCUACGACGGGUAAGGGUUGUGAGAGCAAGAUCCCUGAGAUGGAUUCUGAGACAUGAAUCCAGGCCCUACGGGGUGCAGCAGGCGCGAAACCUUUACACUGCGGGAAACCGCGAUAAGGGGACCCCGAGUGCCAGCACCUAGUGCUGGCUGUCCUGCUGUCUAAACAACAGUGGUUAGCAAGGGCCGGGCAAGACCGGUGCCAGCCGCCGCGGUAACACCGGCGGCCCGAGUGGUAGCCGCUAUUAUUGGGUUUAAAGGGUCCGUAGCCGGCCUAUUAAGUCUCUUGGGAAAUCUGGCGGCUUAAUCGUCAGGCGGCCAAGAGAUACUGGUAGGCUUGGGACC